rnacentral:rRNA from 1 species
UACGAAGGGGGCUAGCGUUGCUCGGAAUGACUGGGCGUAAAGGGCGCGUAGGCGGAUUGCUUUGUCGGGCGUGAAAUUCCAGGGCUUAACCUUGGGGCUGCGUUCGAGACGGGUGAUCUUGAGUUCGGAAGAGGGUCGUGGAAUUCCCAGUGUAGAGGUGAAAUUCGUAGAUAUUCGCAAGAACACCAGUGGCGAAGGCGGCUCACUGGCCCGAUACUGACGCUGAGGCACGAAAGCGUGGGGAGCAAACAGG